CAGCGUAGGGCGCGAGCGUUGUCCGGAAUUAUUGGGCGUAAAGAGCUCGUAGGCGGCCUGUUGCGUCCGCUGUGAAAGCCCGGGGCUUAACCCCGGGUCGGCAGUGGAUACGGGCAGGCUAGAGGUAGGUAGGGGAGAAUGGAAUUCCCGGUGUAGCGGUGAAAUGCGCAGAUAUCGGGAGGAACACCGGUGGCGAAGGCGGUUCUCUGGGCCUUACCUGACGCUGAGGAGCGAAAGCGUGGGGAGCGAACAGG
rnacentral:rRNA from 1 species